rnacentral:rRNA from 1 species
AGCAGUCGCCGCGGUAAUACGUAGGUCCCGAGCGUUGUCCGGAUUUAUUGGGCGUAAAGCGAGCGCAGGCGGUUAGAUAAGUCUGAAGUUAAAGGCUGUGGCUUAACCAUAGUACGCUUUGGAAACUGUUUAACUUGAGUGCAGAAGGGGAGAGUGGAAUUCCAUGUGUAGCGGUGAAAUGCGUAGAUAUAUGGAGGAACACCGGUGGCGAAAGCGGCUCUCUGGUCUGUAACUGACGCUGAGGCUCGAAAGCGUGGGGAGCAAAUAGGAUUAGAUACCCCAGUAGUCCCUGUCUCUUAUACA